GACGUAGGGCGCGAGCGUUGUCCGGAUUUAUUGGGCGUAAAGAGCUCGUAGGCGGCUUGUCGCGUCGUUCGUGAAAACCUGCAGCUCAACUGCAGGCUUGCGGUCGAUACGGGCAGGCUAGAGUUCGGUAGGGGAGACUGGAAUUCCUGGUGUAGCGGUGAAAUGCGCAGAUAUCGGGAAGAACACCCGUGGCGAAGGCGGCUCUCUGGGACGGUACUGACGCUGAGACGCGAAAGCGUGGGGAGCGAACAGG
rnacentral:rRNA from 1 species